GCCAGGUGUGGUGGUGCACAUCUGCAAUCCCAGUGACUUGGGAGGCUAAGGCAGGAGGAUCACAAGUUCGAGGCCAGCCUGGGCAACUUAGUGAGACCCCCCGUUUC
rnacentral:sRNA from 1 species